UACGGGGGGGGCAAGCGUUGUUCGGAAUUACUGGGCGUAAAGGGCUCGUAGGCGGCCAACUAAGUCGGACGUGAAAUCCCCAGGCUCAACCUGGGAACUGCGUCCGAUACUGGAUGGCUUGAAUCCGGGAGAGGGAUGCAGAAUUCCAGGUGCAGCGGUGAAAUGCGUAGAUAUCUGGAGGAAUACCGGUGGCGAAGGCGGGUCUCUGGACAGUUCCUGACACUGAGACACGAAGGCCAGGGGAGCAAACGGG
rnacentral:rRNA from 1 species